rnacentral:lncRNA from 1 species
CCAUUCGAAGCUGAAGAGUUACCUGAGAGAGAAUCUGGAGAGUAAACUACCACCACUUGCUUUGCCUCUGGGAUUGUUGCAGUUUGGAUACUGAAAUAGU